rnacentral:lncRNA from 1 species
GCAAGUAAAGUCAAUUUGGAAGCCAGUGAGAUGGCUGUAGACGCAACCACGCCGUGAGAGGAGCUGCCUUUUCUUCAUGCUACGCGGUCUGGUGGGGAGUGCUUGCGGUGCUGCAGAGGAGAGUUCCCAUCCCUCGUGCACGUCCUUUUGCUCACGAGUCCUUUGUGGGUACAUUGUCUCUACAGGCAAGCUCUGGUUGCCUGUCUGGCAGAGGCAGGGGAACGGUCAGUGUUCACAAAGCUGUUGGGCAAAGUGAAGGAUGCUCAGCCCAUGGAUGCACAGACCCUUGUGUCCUUACUGAAGCUGUUUCAAGAUGUGAAUCCCACGCUGAGAGCAGCCUUGCUGGAGAGGGAACAGGGCAGUGGAGAAGCCCUGCAGCAAACAGAGAGCACGAAAGAGGGAGAGAUG